rnacentral:rRNA from 1 species
UACGAGGACCCCGAGCGUUAUCCGGAAUUACUGGGCGUAAAGCGUGAGCAUCCGGCUCUGCUAGUCUCAUGUUAAAUCUCAUUGCUCAACGAUGAGGCCGCAUGGGAAACGGCAGGACUAGAGCGGGUAAGAGGCAAGCGGAACGUGCGGUGUAGGGGUGAAAUCCAUUGAUAUCGCACGGAACACCAAAAGCGAAGGCAGCUUGCUAGUGCUCUGCUGACGGUCAAUCACUAAAGCGUGGGGAUCAAAAAGG